CAAACCGCUCGCAUCAAUGUGUGCGUGGAACUUCUCGUAGCGCAGCGAUCCGCCGUACUCCGUCCGAUCUGACUAAUCGUUCGUGUCCGCGAAGGAAGGAACAUCACCAGCGCUUAGCAGUCCGUCCCGCAGUUGUGAGUAGAUCAUCGCAUCGCCCAAAAGGUGUACCGCAGUUUUACGCCCUCGCGCCCGUCCCGUAUCUCUUAUGUGUGUGACGACUACGACGACGACGGGAAUUGUAGGAAAAAGGAAAAUUCGCAGUGCAGGAAAAACCCGUGUCCGUGUGCUCGGUUCUUGUAGUUGGUAAUAAUCGUUCUAGAAGGCCGUCGAUUUUGUCGUUGCGUUUUUUGUCCGGUUCCGCCCGCGCCGUGUCCGCGAGUGCUGUCGUCAUCCGUCGACGAAGAUCCCCCACAAACGGCCGUAACACAUUCGACGACGACGGAAUUCCAUCUUCGUUCUGCUGCGUGCGGCUUGAAAAUCGCGUGUGUCUUUUUUCCGUCUUCGGGUGUCUGUGUGUGCGAGGGUGAAGGUUUUUUCCCCUGGCCAAAUACCUUGGCAGCGGCGGAGUGUGUUCCGAUUCUGUGUCGAGGAGAAAGCCCAGCUGGCUAACCUUAUCCUACUACGAGAGCUGCGCUGCACCUGUGAUAAGUGCUUGAAAAUUUAAGUGUGAAACAAAGAAAGCAGCCUUCCCCGCAGCCAAAGGAAUAGUAUCGGUGGUGCGGAUUUGUCCCAGGCGAAAAAAAGAGUGAAAAAAGAAGUUCCCCCCAGGGAAAGAGGAGCAGCAGCAGCAGCAGCGCAAGAAAAUAGGUGGAAGAAAAACCUCUCGCCCCAUCAUACCGUGCCUGUGUUGUGUGGUCGAAGAAGUCUAGAAAAAAGCGGCAGCAAGCAGCUAACAGCCUAAGCUGAAAAGUGUGUGUGCGUGUUAUUCUCGGCAAUCCCAGAGAAGAGUAGUCGUGCAGUGGUGUGGUCAUCGGAGUAGUCCGCGAAGAAGCAGCACAGCAGCAGUUUCAGCAAAGCACGUAACAACAAAAACAAAAACAAGGAUCAACGAGAGAAAAACGUCUCAGCGUGAACGCAAGUAGUAGUUGGGAAACUUCCGGACGGGAUUAUCUUACCACCCCCUCGCAGUUAUCGAGGAUCGAGAGACAACCCGAAGAAGCAGCAGACAGUUUCGGCACCAUGGCGGAAUCCGGUGAGGAUGUACAAUCGCAGGUCAACCAGAGCACCAACAACCAACCAGGUAAGCAAACACCUUGAGACAACACCACAGAAAUCUACAACCGAUGAUGCGUUCCUCGCAGUCGUCCUCUAGCUUUGAUACACAUUACUUUCGAUUGUAUACAAUACAGGAAGUGACGGUUUUGGUUGGGAGCUUGGCUACUUUAGAUUAACAACGCACGAGACACCAGCGCACGUCGCACAAGGUAUAUGGUUAUGGUAUUAGUUUAAGUUGCUUCUGGCUUGCGUGGAGUGGUUGGAGGUCAACUCAGUCGUAAUCGCCGGCAUCAUCGCCGAAUUUAACUCGAACUCUAAUGUAUAUCAUCCAUCUAUCAAUCAUGGGCGGUUGCGCCAAAACGUAGCUUCCGCUGAAGAUGACGGCGACGGGCUACUGCUGAUUCCGACAUCCCGACACCCGAACGGUUUGAAUGUUGCAGAUGAAAAGCGAAAGUUUUAUUAUUUUAUGGAUUUAUGAAAAUAGGUAAAUAAACAAAUGAUGUCUGCUUUGGGGGGCGAUUGGCGAUAAAUGACGUCGAUUAUUACGCUGAUGUUGAGAGGAGUGGAGAAGCGUAAAAAAUUGCGUAACAUAGAAAGGUAGGUAACUCGUCGACUCCUAAUAAAAAAGUGAAGGUGUAUGCAUCGAAUAAAAGAAAGGAUGACUAACAAGGUAUCAGGUAUCAGAAGUCCGGCUCCAGAUGCACGUUAUCCUCCAUUUGGGACAUUUGUGCCACCGCCAUAGUAAAAGCCUAUUCCAUCAUCUACCUGAGGGGCAAGGAAGGAAAUAAGGAAUUGGAUGGGGAGAACAACAGAACAUCCUGAAGAUUCAGGUUUCUGAAGUCAGUUUCAUAAUAAAUGUUUACCGAGUACUCGCAGUUGCGUAAAAAACUGGACAAUUACAGGGG